UGCCGGCACCGGAUGGAGAGUCCCGAGAAGGCUUAAUUUGCAGGAAGACAUUCUCAUCAGAUCUCGUCUCCGGCAGCCGAGCGCUGCUGCCGGGGGUCGGGCCGGGCUCCUCCCAGGACCCCUCCCCUGGGCUCUGGCUGGACGAGAAACCGAGAUGGUGGCAGCAGAAACUGGAGCCCCGGCGCCGGAGCGGCCGCGAGGGGCCGGGGCCUUCGAGGGCUUCGCUGCUUCUUGCCAAGUCUAUAUAGCUCAGCUGAAAGCCCAUUAGCUGAAGAAAGCAUCGUUUGUGAAGACCUAAAGAAGAGCUCAAGAAUGAGUAGCAAAUUUAGGGCAGCUCUGAGGAAGAACAUGAUGCAGUGAAUGAAUGCUCUCAAGACCUAGGCAGGAACAAAGGAGAAUUGCUCAUGGCCCUUGCCCCAGAAGAGCACAUGGUCCAGUAAAAUAACUUCAGAAAAGGAAAGGCCUGGUGAGAACACAGCAAGGAGAUGGUCAUCUGAAACCCAAAGAGAGCUCUCACCACGCCUGGACCCUGCCAGCAACGUGACCUCCUGGACUCUGGUCUCCAGAACUGUAAGAAAUAAAUUUCAGUUGUUCAAGCCAA